UCCAAAGACUGCUUGGCUGGAGCUGGAAAGGGGGAAGAGGAGAGGGGGAAAAACUUCGCCAAAGAAGAAGGACGUCCUAGAGAAAACGUGAAGAAGAGUUUGAUCGAGCCAAGCUCAGCCCAGCUCAAGAAUUUCUUCUCACCCUCCUCUUCGAUCCAGGUCAUUUUCCCAGGGAGUUCCAAGAACUUGAAAAGCUGUGAUUACUUGAUCCAAUUUGCAACUGAUGAAAGCCCAUUUCCUUGGUUGAUGUGGGCCUGAUAUGUAACUCAGCUGUCUUCAGGAUACCUUAGAAAGAGAACUUCUGAAG
rnacentral:lncRNA from 1 species